CCCUUAGAUGAUUUGGGCUGCACGCGCGCUACACUGACCCUAACAAUGAGCAACUGUCUGGCCUGAGAUGGCUGGGUAGCCUUUUCAACCCAUGUCAUGAUUGGGCUAGAUUUUUGUAAGUCUUGAUCUCUAACGAGGAAUCCCUAGUGUGCGUGAAUCAUCAAUCCAUGCAGAUUAUGUCCCUGCCCUUUGUACACACCGCCCGUCGCUCCUACUGAUUGGGUGAUCCGGUGAGCUGUUCGGCCAUAGCAAUGUUUCUUGAGCAGGGCAAUGAAUGUUUCGCAAACCUUGCCACUUAGAGGAAGGAGAAGUCGUAACA
rnacentral:rRNA from 1 species